rnacentral:rRNA from 1 species
GCCUGUUUAUCAAAAACAUGGCUCCUUGUAAAAUAUAAAUAGGGAGUCGGACCUGCCCAGUGAGGUUUUUAACGGCCGCGGUACUCUGACCGUGCAAAGGUAGCAUAAUCAUUUGCCUUAUAAUUGAAGGCUAGUAUGAACGGUUUGACAAGAAUAUAGCUGUCUCUAUAUAAUUUAAUAGAAUUUUAUUUAUAGGUGAAGAAGCCUAUAUUAUAUUAAAAGACAAGAAGACCCUAUUGAGCUUUAAAAGAAUUAAUAGAUUUAAGUCUAAUAGCUAUUUAAAAAGCCAGCUAUUAAAAAUUUUGGUUGGGGCGACUGAGGAACAAAGAAAGCUUCCUUUAAUCCGUAAGACAUACAAGUAAUGAUCCAAAACAUUUUGAUUAAAGAAAUUAGUUACCAUAGGGAUAACAGCAUUAUCUUUUUUGAGAGCUCUAAUCGAAAAAAAGGUUUGUGACCUCGAUGUUGGACCAGAAUAUCCUGAAGAUGCAGCAGUCUUUAAAGGUUGGUCUGUUCGACCAUUAAAAUUCUACGUGAUCUGAGUUCA